rnacentral:tRNA from 1 species
CAAGUUAUAUAUUCAAAUGAAUACUAUUAUUUACAUUAAUAUAAGGAUUGUGUGAUUCAAUCUAACUUGA